rnacentral:lncRNA from 1 species
UUAGAUAUCUAUUGUUAUUUGUAGGGAUCCAAUAAAAAUAUCCUUGACGAAGCUCCAAUUCCUCGACGUAAAAAACGAGAAAGGGAUAAUGGUGAUGUGCGUCCAAUACAUAUUGCUCAGCGCUUGCGUCGUGAAAGGGAGAAGCAAGCAAAAAUAAUACAAUCUCAACCAUAUCCAUUUCAACCAAGAUUUUUCCCUGGUUUGAUCCCCAG